GGAAACUUGAGUUUUCUUCUCUAUAUAAAACGCAUGUCUGAUUCUCUGCCAUACGGCGUUCUUUUUUGCGAUCUCUACUAGUUAGAAGGAGGGAGAGGGAGAGAGAGACGCGCUCCUGCCAUGGCAUUCCUUCAAUUCUACGUGAAUCACAGUUUGACAAGAAGGGGAAGCGUCACGAAGAGUGACUGGAGCAGCGCCUUUUCGUACGACUACAGAGUCCAAUCACUCGCUUCCCUGGUUUCUCUGGUUUCCGACGCGCUCCUUCAGGGCAUCGACAUAACUCCGGAACUAAUAGACGAGAUGUGUGCUACGGUGUGCAGCCUUGUCCGGUACAUGGUUCAAAAAUGGUCGGCGGGUGUUGGAGAUGCCGACCGCCGGAUCCCGAUCGUUACUGUCAUCGACGUGCAGGAGGAGGAAGUGGAGGGACUUGUUCGUUUCAAAAUUAGGGCAAAGAUCACUUGCUAUCCAUCAUUGCCAGCAGGUUACCAAUCCUCCUCCUCAACAUCAGCGGCGGCUGCGGCGGCAUGAUGGCAGCACGGUCAGAAGAGCAGGGGCGAGGGAGAAGGUGGUGAUUUUGUAAGCUCGGCCGCCUUCGCAACGACUGAGAGAACACCCACUUUGGGAACCGAAGGGAGUUUCCACUUUCCCCUGUUUUUGGAGCGGCAUUUUCUUCAUUGAAGUUCUGUGUACCUACUAUUCUUUUGUGUAGCAUCUUUAUAUGUGUGCCAAAUUUUGUUGCAACCAAGUCUGAACCUUUUUCAAAAGGUGCGAGCUUGUGGGGGGUUGUGUCUGUAGCUCAUCCUUAUCGCAUAAGUUGUUUUCACGUGUUGUUAUUGCAAAUUCAAUCCAUUUUGUGAAGGUUCUUUGAUUGAUAUGUAUUGCAAAUGCAAUUAUAUCAAUGAUGCACGUAUGCUUUUUGAUAAAAUAAGUAGACCAGAUACAGUCUCAUGGACGGUCAUGAUUUCUGGGUAUGUUCAGGUUGUUGGCUUCAAGAAGCUCUUACUUUGUUUCUAGACAUGCGGAAAUUGGGAGCUGAACCGGAUAAAGUUACCUUUGCUACUAUUAUUAGUGCAUGUGCUAGUCAAGGUAUGCUUGAUGAUGCGCAGCGAUUGUUCCACCAACCAUCCAACCCAAAUGUGGCUGUAUGGAAUGCCAUGAUUUCUGGCAAUGCUCAGAAUGGGCAUGAAAAUGAAGCUCUUAGAUUAUUUCAAGAAAUGAGGCUAUCUGGAGUUAAGCCUACUCAAUCAACCUAUGGAAGCGUUUUAAAUGUUUGUGCUCCUCUCACAGAUCUGGGGCUUGGCCAACAAAUUCAUUCGGAAGUGAUUAAACUUGGUCUAGAUAAGAAUGUUUAUGUUGGUAGCGCACUCAUUACUGUUUAUUCCAGGUGCUCCGUUGUAGAGGAUGCUCAUGAAGUUUUUAUUGCAGUGGAUAAUAGAAAUAUUGUCCUCCGGAAUGCAGUUCUUGGAUGCUAUGCACAAAAUAGCGAUCCUUCAAAAGUUGUGGAACUCUUUGCUUCUUUGUUGAGUUCUAGUUUCCAGCUACAUGAGGUUACCUACACUAGUAUUCUCAAUGCUUAUGCAUAUUUAUCCUGCACUGACUGGCUAGGCAGUUGCACUGUAAUAUAAUAAAGGACAAUCGGGAUCAGAGCCUUUGUGUAGGAAAUGCACUUAUUGACAUGUAUGUCAAAUUAGGAAAUAUAGGGAAUGCAAGACAGCAAUUUGACCUUAUGAUGCUCAAAGAUACUAUUACGUGGAACUCGAUGGUGGCUGGGUAUGUCCAAGGCAAUGAUGUGGAUGAGGCCAUUUAUUUAUUCUGCCAUAUGAUGUGGCAGGGCAUUAGUCCUGAUGAAGUGUCCUUUGUCUGUGCCCUCAGUAUGCUUGCCAAUUUAGAUGCGCUUGAAGGCUUGAAGCAGGCAAGCAAAUUCAUGCAUUUGCUAUCAAGUCAGGAUUUGAACUGAAUUUAUAUGUAGGCAGCGCCCUUAUUGAUAUGUAUGCUAAAUGUGCUUCAAUGGAAGAAGCACAUAAUAUUCUUGCUCAGAUGCCAGAGUCGAAUGUAGUGUCAAGGAAUGCACUGAUAGCCGGUUAUGUGCAGAAUGAUCAAGCAAUGGAAGCAAUAGAUGUUUUUCGACAGAUGCAAGCAGCAGAAUUGAAGGCAAUAGCAUUCACAUUUUCCAGUAUUUUAGUUGCAUGCUAUGGUCUAUGUGAAUUGAAUAUGGGGAAACAAGUUCAUGGUUAUGUAAUCAAGACUGGACUUAUUUCUGACGCAUUUUUUGGGUAUUACACUUUUCGGCAUGUAGGCAAGAUGCCAAACCAGGGGAGACAUGCUUCCGUUACAGGCACUUUCAGCUAAAGAAAACCCAAUGAACAAAUGAGUAGCUGAAGACCUGUUGAAAACAGUGCAGAAACUGGGAAAUCAAGAAGGAUGUGAAGUUAUUCAUGAGUGCUUCAUCGUACCAAUAGCAUUAACAAGGUAUUAGCACAAAGUAUUGAUACCUGUGAAUGUGUGAUAUAACAAGUGGUCCAUUAUGGUGAUUUAGCGCUCAUCAGAAUCAGAGGACAGAAGGAGGAAAUAACUUAUUUUCAUAACUUGCUGUCCUUCCACCCAUUAAUACCUCCAUUCUCAUAAGAAGAGAGGGAUGUGGUGUAAGAUUACACUCUCUUGAUUUUAUCUGUAGAUUGGAUGGCUCAGCAGCACCUUUAAUGUGUUCUGAAAAGAAAAAAGACAACACAUGCUGCUUGAUUCAAUGAAGCAGGGCAUAUGACACAUCAAUUAGGACGUCAGGUAGGAAUAUUCUGAUGGUUUAUUCAGUUAAUAACAAUCUUUAAGACAUUACUAAUUUUAGCAAAGAAUGGACCACAUCUCCCAUAAUGCGGAUGGGAGCAGAUAAAGAAAGUCAUGGUGUCUAGUAGGAACAAUA